UACGUAGGGUGCAAGCGUUGUCCGGAUUUAUUGGGCGUAAAGAGCUCGUAGGCGGUCUGUCGCGUCGGAUGUGAAAACCCAGGGCUCAACCCUGGGCCUGCAUUCGAUACGGGCAGACUAGAGUGUGGCAGGGAGACUGGAAUUCCUGGUGUAGCGGUGAAAUGCGCAGAUAUCAGGAGGAACACCGGUGGCGAAGGCGGGUCUCUGGGCCAAUACUGACGCUGAGGAGCGAAAGCGUGGGGAGCGAACAGG
rnacentral:rRNA from 1 species